CCCGGUGGAAUCCAAUUAAUAAAAUUUCCAAGAGCGAAUAAAUGCACCAUUGCAGAAAAUACCCCAUGUAAAGAAUGGGAACUCUGGAGCAAAACCUACCUCAUCCUUGGCACCACUUAAUGCCUUGGCCAAGGCAUCAACCUCUACAACUUUCUGAGCAGCAAAAGCAAGCCAGGACUUGAUUUCUUUGUCCAGUUUAGGCUCAUUAACUAGAUCAACGGCAGUGUGGAGAAGUGAGGAGGAUGUGGAGACAACAAGCUUGUCUGCAUGAGGGUAUCACAAGGAAUCAGCACCUGUACAACCAGAAUUCAUGACAAGUACAAAAUUAACCUUUGGCCUGUUUUACCUUUUCCAACAAUGCCCUCAAGAGCCUGCAAGGUGGUUAAAGAUGCAGCAAGAUCAUUAGCCCAGAUGUUCCUUCCAUCAACCACUCCAGCAAACAAGUAUUUACCAGCAGGGAAUCCGCCCUUGAUCAAGUCAAGAGUUUUAGCUCCACGAACAAGAUCAAAGCCAAUGGCUGAAACUCCACUCAAAGAAGUGACAGCUUUAAAUGCCUCUUCAGGAACAUCAGCAAAGUAGGUCUCAAUCAGAACAUUAAGGCCAGAAAACGAUGACUCCAACUCGGAGUAGGCCUUGGUGAAUGCUUGCAAUUGGUGAGAUUCAAGAUCCAUCACAAGGAUUGGCUCAUCAAACUGAAUCCAUGAAGCACCAGCUGCCUUUAGAUCAGCAAUUACUUCCCUGCAAAAGGGUUCAAUUUAUUAACACCAAGCUGGAGACACCGAAUUAAAGGUAGAAAAGGUGGCAUUUCUUACUUGUAGAUUGGAAGGAUUUUGUCAAGGAGGCUAAGUUUAUUGAAAGUCUUCUCAACACCCUUAGCAGGUUUGGAUAGACUCAAGAAAGUGAAGGGCCCAACAAGGACUGGAACAGUAUCUACACCAAGCUGCAUGGUGAAAGUUCCAACAAUAAUUAGUUUCUACUUUGUAAUGAAGCAAUUUAAAUAAUCAAGUACAUUAUGAACUAAUGGCUUCAAUCCCCUACUUGGAAAGCAUAAUGAUUGACUUGAUCAAAUAGGAAGAAUGACAAGAUAAUUGACUAUCAUGGCAAAUGGUUGCUAAGAAGUCCAAACAAUAGCAAGUAAAUUGAACCGGAAAAGUAAUAAGGUUGCACAAUAACAUACCGCCUUAGCCUCCUUGUAUUCAUUUACUGCCUUGUGGGAAGCAUAAGAAAACUUCACAUCAGGUCCCAACUCAGGAACAAUGAAGUGGCUGGAUUGUGGGGGAAUAAGAUUUACUUUAAUUAGAGAAUAUAGACAUUAUAUUAUGAAAGGGCUCAAAGAAUAAACUUGUCACUUACUAGUUGGUGUCAAACCACUUGGUCAUUUCCAUAGCAGGUACAGAGGCAUUUCCUCUGGCCAUGGAAAAGUAAGUGUCGAAACCAAUCUCCCCACCACUCCAGUUGUAUCUAGGUGGAACUGCGCCAAGCAAUGCAAUAGUAUCAAGAACCUGAUCAUAGUAGGAGAAGGUGUUGCCUGGGAUGUACUUGAUCCCAGCAUCAGCCAUCUGUUUCCAGAUGGAUGCCCUGAGGUCAGCAGCCACCUUUUCCAACUCUUCAGCACUGCUCUUCUUAUCCCAGAAGGAUUCCAGAGCAAAUUUAAGUUCUCUCUUGGGACCCAUUCGGGGAUAUCCAACAAUGUGAGAUGCCAUUAUUCUGGAUCAACAUAGAAACAAGACAAAUUUCAUUCCCCAAUCAAACAAAAUCACUUGUCAUUCUCAAUUAUAUCCUCAUUUCACAGUAGUACUCGUUAACACAGCAUGCAUAUGGUCCAGUAGAAGAACCAAAUAAGUGCAAACAACGAAAUGGCAAUGACCAAAACACUAAUCCUUAUACAGAUAUUAGGGACUAGCUAGAACAAGCAUUUCUUCUUUCAUGUUUGUCCCACUGUUAUCUAAAAGAAGAAAAUGAAGGACUAGAACCCAAUUCUAACACAAAAAAGCAAGAUCCUAGGCCACACCCCUUACCGGAUGAAGCAUUUCUUUAUUACUAUAAUCAUCCAGUUUCAAAUGUGCUUCCAAAACAAUAAAUAACUAAAGAAGUCAUUCAAGAAACAAGUAUCUAGCAUUGAAAAGGACAUGGACAAAUUUGUUUUCAAGUUGUAAAACUAGAUUAGCAAUCGCGAUUAGCAAUCGCCUAAUGCUGCUAGUUGUGAUCCAACACCAAGAGAAGUACCGAGCUAAUUAAUAUAAGCAGAGAAAGCAUACGAUAACCAAUCCAAAAGAUUUGUUUAAUCAGAUCUACCAACUUUUUUCCAGAUCUAUGACGAUACGAGGCCGAGUGCAUAUACAUCACAUGCAGUCGAACAGAAAUGCUGGCUGGUUUAACAGUAUUCACCGCCACCAUUAGCAACUUCAUAUCAGAUCUAUUAACCAGAAACGACCCGAAUCCAGAUCCCCACGACCCACUUCCCCAAACCACUAGAUCUACAAGAAUUCAAUACUAAAUUCACGCCCCCCUGUUUAAAAAAAAAAGUUUACAACUUACCCGCCACCCCUCCACCGCCCUAAAAUAACAAUCCCACACUAACACAAAAUCCAUUUUUAAGUCGCCAUGUCAUCACUUGACACGGUAAAAAUUUAACGAGUUACCAUUUGAGCAAAACAAACAUGAAUGCGUUAAAACUGGGGAUUUACACAUUUACCAGUAUGGAUCGAAGAGAAACGAGUAGAUCAAAUUAAGUUUGGAAGGAAUAACUAAAAAUCUAAGAACACAAGAACUGUGUAACAAAAUGAAAAUGGGAUUCAAAAGUGUAGACAAAAUUUAGCAAUACAAAUACACAAGAAACAAUGGGUGGUACGAAGAAGAACAAGAAGACGCGAAUGAGAGAGCGAACCUUUCGGACGAGGUAAGACCGGGGAUGUGGUGGUUCAAGACUGAUUCUAUCUUUUUUUGAGAGAUUGGUUUGUUGAUACAGGGCAGCGGAGAGAGGAGAGAAGGGGCUGACGCGAGUUUUGAGCUGGGGAUGAGUGUCAUAUAUAUACAGGGAGAUGUAUGGGAGUAGGUGGGUAGAUCUGGGGUGUGGGAAGUUUAACGAGUUACAAUUUUUAGUGGGUUUGUUUGGACGUCGUGAUUAUAAUUUUUAAUAUAUUUUUUUAAUUUACAGAUAUCACAUAAAAAAUAUUAUAGUAAAAAUAUCUUAAAUAACUUAAUAAAAUUUUUUUUUUCUUUUCCGAUGUUUUUCGUUUCCUGAUUUUCGUAAAUAGUUGGUGAUGGCCUGCCGCGCGGGAUUGGAGCGCGUGGCUUUGAUGAUGGUUACCUACUACGGCCGGUCAAUGUGCAGGGAUCAUGGAUAUUCUAGUGGUUGCGUCUGGGCAUUUUUGCGAACCAAAAAAGAAUUUUUCAGAAUUACAUUGGAUGCGCUUCUGUUUUAGGGAUGUUUUAUAAAAACACUCUAAAAUAUCCAUCCACAAGUUUUAGAAAGAUAACAAACAAAAAUAUAUAUAUAUAUAUAUAUGUUAAAUAAAGCACUGAUGGCAGAGGUGGAUAGAAAUUGCAGGUGGCGGAAGUUGUGAAUGGAAGGAGGGGAAAAAAAAAAAAAGAAGAAGAAGAAGAAGAGGUGGCAGGUAGGGGUGAUAGUAGCAAUAGUUGAAGUGGGAAUGGUGGAAAGGCCAGAAGGGUGGUGGUGGAGGAGGUUAAGAAAGUGUGUGUGUGUUUUUAGGUUUGAGAAAUUAGGGUUUGGGUAAAAAUAGAUUUGUGAAAAAAAUGGUGGAUUAUGUGAGAAUUUGGUUCAAUAUUAAGUCAGUUGCGAUUUACCUUUUAAAUAUUGACCACGUAAAGUGUUCGUGAUUUAUUUCAAUAAAAAUUUUAUUGAAAAUGAUACUAAGGAUAAAAUAAUCAUUUAUUAUUUAUUAGGGACUAAAAACCAUUCAUUUUGACUUUGAGAGGUUGCAAUUUAUCAUGAGCAACAAAAUAUUACUACUGGUUUUUAGCAUGCGACAACAUGAAGUAUUAUGUUUUGUUGCUAAUUACAAUUAAAACACACACACAAAUUAUUGUUUCUAUUUUUCCAAGUGAUCCUGAUCAAUGUCCUCAACUACUAAAAUAAGUGCAAGCUCGUUAGUUUUUAAUGUUCUAAAAAAAAUUUCACAUUGUGUCCAAUAAAAUGUACACUAAAAGAAGAUUUGAAUUGUCUUUUUCUUUUAAUUUUUAGUUCGCUUCUUGCAUAUUAAUCAAUACCGUGAAAACUAGUAUAGUAUUAUUUUAUAACGUGAAAUAUCAGCAAUGCCUAUUCUAUCUGCGAAUCAUUUUUUGUUUUCCAAAAUAUUAUAGUUUACCUCAUAUAAUUUAUUUCAGUCGAGUUGAGUGAAAAACAAGUUACUAAAAUUUAGUAGGAAUGGCUUCUAAAUCUUGAAGUCAUUAGUCAUAUUUGAUGUAUGUAAGAACAAAAUUUUAGAGAUUUUUUUAACAUGAGCUCAAUUGAUAUUUGUUGAUGAUACCCAAUUUAUCAUUGAAUUAGUUGUUGCAUUUAUUGUCAUUAUCAUUUAAAACACCUUCUAGUGAGAAAAUACAUACAUUGAAAAUUGAAUGCGACGCAGGUGGCAUAGCACAUUAGAAGCAAUGUUUUUAAACUCGGACCGGUCAAUGAACCGGAGAGGUGGCCGGUUCGCUGUUCGAUCGGUCCGACCGGUCCAACCAGUCGGUUCAAAGGUUCACUGUUUUUUUUUUUUUUUUUGUGUUAAGUACUAAGCAGGUUUCAUUCUACACUUGAACUUUACCAACAUAACUUAAUUUAAGUUAUGAUAAUAAUAAAUUUUCUAAAAGUUAUACAUAAAACAUGGAAUGAUAAAUAUAAUUAAAAUAUCAUAAUUCACCAUAAGUUUUCAUAAAUUCAUUAUAAACAUAAAUAGAUACAAUCCAAAUGUUCACCAAUUAUCACAAAUAAAAACACAAAAAAUAAAUAAAUUAAAUAUUGAAAUUCUUUUACAACCCUUAAAAAAAUCCAUAAAAGAGUUCAAGUUAAGACAAACUAUUUGAAUAGCAAACUUUUAUCAGUGGCAUGAUAAGCAACCACACCACCUUCACAAUUUCAUCAACUUAAGCUGAAAAAGUUAAAAUUUUAUUAUAAAAAUAUAAAUCUAAUUGCUCAAACUAAAAAAAACUAAAAAUUUUUGAAAAACAAAUAUACAGUUAAACACAUAAAAAAUUAAUUGCUACUAAACAUUACUAAUUAACAUGUUAUAUUAAAUUCAAUGAUCCUAUACCAUUAAUUAUUUUAAAUUCAAUUAUCAAUAGCUUCGAUUAUGUGCCAACUACCAUAUUUUUGACCAGCCCAAUGUUAUUAUUUGUAAUUCCUACCCAAUUCCUACACGAAUGUGCACUACUUUUGCAAAAAUUUCAUCCUUAAUUAAUCGAAUAAAAAUAAAACAAAAAUGAGGGAAACAUAUGAAAAUUGAGGGGAAAAAGAAGAAAAUGCAAAAAAUCAACUAAAGAUAAUAAUAUAGAAAAAAAAACCUUGAAAAGAAAAAAAUUAAACUUACUAAGAUGUUGGAAAA
rnacentral:lncRNA from 1 species